UAAUGAUUAGUGAGCCCCAAGCGGGUGUUGGUGGUAGGCCGGCCUGUGUGCUCUGUCUGACAUUAGGGGUCUGCUUCAUACUAGCACUGAGACUCCAGGCUCAGCGAUGCCCCCAGACCUCUGGGCGAGAAGCUUCUGGUUGUGGGGACCUCUUUUGUGGCUCAGCGUUGGAAGUUCAGGGGAUGUACCUCUUACCCCACAGCCAAAGUGCACUGAUUUCCAGAAUGCCAACCUCCUCCGAGGCACCAAUCUCAAAGUGCAGUUUCUCCUCUUUGCACCUUCAGAUCCUAGCUGUGGGCAGCUACUGGAAGAAAGCAGUGACAUCCAAGACUCUGGGUUCAAUGCCAGUCUGGGAACCAAACUAAUUAUUCACGGAUUCAGGGCUUUAGGAAAAAAGCCUUCCUGGAUUAAUACAUUCAUUAGAGCCCUUCUGAAUGCAGUAGAUGCUAACGUGAUCGCUGUGGACUGGGUUUACGGAUCUACAGGUGUCUACUACUUGGCUGUGGAAAAUGUGGUUAAGCUGAGCCUGGAGAUUUCCCGUUUCCUCAGUAAACUCCUGGCGCUGGGUGUAUCAGAGUCUUCUAUCCACAUCAUUGGAGUUAGCCUGGGGGCCCAUGUUGGGGGCAUGGUGGGACAUUUCUACAAAGGCCAGUUGGGACGGAUCACAGGCUUAGACCCCGCUGGACCAGAGUACACCAGAGCCAGUCUGGAGGAGCGCUUGGAUGCUGGAGAUGCCCUCUUCGUGGAAGCCAUCCACACAGACAGCGACAAUUUGGGUAUUCGGAUUCCCGUUGGACACGUGGACUACUUCGUCAAUGGAGGCCAGGACCAGCCUGGCUGUCCCACGUUCAUUCAUGCAGGUUACAGUUAUCUGAUCUGUGAUCACAUGAGGGCUGUGCACCUCUACAUCAGUGCCCUGGAGAAUUCCUGUUCAUUGAUGGCCUUUCCUUGUGCCAGCUACCAGGACUUCCUUGCUGGAAACUGUGUGGAUUGCUUUAACCCUUUUCUGCUUUCCUGUCCAAGGAUAGGGCUAGGAGACCAAAGUGGUAUCAAGAUAGAGCCGCUUCCCAAGGAAGUGAAAGUCUACCUUCUGACCAUGUCCACGGCCCCCUACUGUGUGCAUCACAGCCUUGUGGAGUUUUACUUGCAGGAGCCGAGAAGAAAGGACACAAGCAUCAAGAUCACCUUUGUUAGCAGCAAUGUCACCUCCUCAGUCAAGAUCACCAUGUACACCUGGACAGCAACUCCGGGGAAGAGGAGUCAUAGCCCACCCUGAGCCACAGUGCCAGAUAAAACAAGUGAAAUUAAAGUUUCAGGCUUCCAGCCAGGUUUGGAAUAAAAACAAGAGUACCAUCGUUGGGAAGUUCUGCAUGGCUCCUCUGCCCGUCAAUGACAGUAAAAACACAGUCUGUCUGCCUGAGCCAGUGAACUUACAAGCAAGUGUGUCUGUUUCGCAUGACCUGAAAAUAGCCUGUGGAUAGCAUAAACAUGGGUAGGACACCUCCCUGGACUUUUUUUGAGGAAAAUAUGGUGAGGGACAUGUAUAUGUGUAUGCAACAUGUGCUAGACUAUUGCUACUAACGAGGAAGGUCAAAUUCUUGAUUAUAUUCCUCAUAAUCAGUUUCUAUGGAGGGGAGAUGACUCAUUUUACAGAACUUGGUCCCCAUUGCCGAUCUGAAAAGCUCACAUGGAUGCUAUUUCAGCUUCCCUAUUCCUACGUAACUGCAAUUGCCUCACAUCCUUCAGCAUCUAUACUUAGGAUGCCAUUGAAACAGAGAAGUUUUUUUUUAAAUAAAACAUCAUGGAAUUUCUGAAUCAUUUAAAUAUUUUAUUGGAAUGGAAAUUCCCUUAUGUAGAAAAAAAUGAUUUGUAGUCUAUGGGAUUGGAGAAGACAGUAGAUAUUGAAUUCUCUGUAUUAAAAUAGCAACUGAAAAUUAGUUGGAACAAAAGAGGGGAUGAAGAGUGGGGAUGGGGAGGGCGCCACUGACCAUCCCCGUGCCUCCUUUGGGUCUCUGGAAGGUUUGGAGGAUUUUGAUCUUUGUAAAUAACCUUGUUACCAGUCAUAGUCCAUAAAAAAAAAAUUAAAAUAAAAUAAACAAACAAAACCAGA